UGGGGAAUAUUGCACAAUGGGCGCAAGCCUGAUGCAGCGACGCCGCGUGCGGGAUGACGGCCUUCGGGUUGUAAACCGCUUUUGACUGGGAGCAAGCCCUUCGGGGUGAGUGUACCUUUCGAAUAAGCACCGGCUAACUACGUG
rnacentral:rRNA from 1 species